rnacentral:rRNA from 1 species
UAGUGGCGAACGGGUGAGUAACACGUGGGCAAUCUGCCCUUCACUCUGGGACAAGCCCUGGAAACGGGGUCUAAUACCGGAUAUCACUCUCGCAGGCAUCUGUGAGGGUCGAAAGCUCCGGCGGUGAAGGAUGAGCCCGCGGCCUAUCAGCUUGUUGGUGAGGUAAUGGCUCACCAAGGCGACGACGGGUAGCCGGCCUGAGAGGGCGACCGGCCACACUGGGACUGAGACACGGCCCAGACUCCUACGGGAGGCAGCAGUGGGGAAUAUUGCACAAUGGGCGAAAGCCUGAUGCAGCGACGCCGCGUGAGGGAUGACGGCCUUCGGGUUGUAAACCUCUUUCAGCAGGGAAGAAGCGAAAGUGACGGUACCUGCAGAAGAAGCGCCGGCUAACUACGUGCCAGCAGCCGCGGUAAUACGUAGGGCGCAAGCGUUGUCCGGAAUUAUUGGGCGUAAAGAGCUCGUAGGCGGCUUGUCACGUCGGGUGUGAAAGCCCGGGGCUUAACCCCGGGUCUGCAUUCGAUACGGGCUAGCUAGAGUGUGGUAGGGGAGAUCGGAAUUCCU